CCCACAGCUGAAGGUCACUCGACUCUGCCGACAAGCUUCUCUGCGCGUCUUGAGGCCCUGUUUUCACACGCGCAGCCCAUCGCGUUCGGUACUCAGCACAUUUCAGAUGCGCGACAGCCCCACGUGGCCAGCGGGCAGCGCAGGGUCACCCCCACGUCCUCAUGGAUACUCGUCAGGUUUGUUACCACUGAGCCACAACAGGAAUGCUGGUUUAAGGAUUUUUUUAAAAAACCUAUUGCUUUGUGCUUCUGAAAAGUUAAGGGACAACACAUCUCGGAGCUCAAUUUCCAGAACUGCCGAGGAAGGCGCCCCUUUACCGAGACACCCCCAGGCGUAAACAGGAACAUCUUAUUUUUACGAGCCGUCCCAGCUACACAGGCCAACGGCACCCGUCACGGGCGCGGCCCCUUCGGAGCUUUCAUUUCAUCUCAAAUGUUCCUUUGCCUGCAUUUAACUCACACCCGAUACAUUUACAGAGAAGCCUUGUAGGAGCAACAUUCUCCAUAUUUUAAGCCAAAGGGAUUUUGCUGUCCGUUUUUAACAAGCACUCGAACUCCAAACGGAAGCAAACAAGGAGCAUCUGUGAAAGCGUCGUACAACAGAACAGAAACGCGCCCGAGCCAGACAACCUGCGUGAGCGAAGGCGCGGCCCGCGGUCCCUGCCAGCCCGCCGGGCCUCGAGGACGGCGAGCGGGGGGCCGAGUGCGUCUCGCGGGGCUCCUUCCCCUUUCGGCCGUCGCCUGCGGGCGGGGGUACAAGCAGUUAAUGCGGCAGAUACACACGCGGGCCUCGUGGGUCUGAACCGCGCUUGGCAGUGGCAGUGCCAGUGCCAAAGACAUCAGGAGACUCACACAGGCAAGAACAAAAACCCAAGCGGUGCCCCCGGGGCCAUAGGCGGCUCGGCCCGAGCAGGUCACGAGGGACCUUGCAGGACAGCCUGGGGGAAGCACCUGCGAGACCAGGAAAGCCACGUACUUACACAGAGACUCCCCGUUGACCCGGAGGCGGCCGUCGUCUCCGAGGGCCUCUCGCACGUCCAUCCUCCCGCCGUGGCCGCAGUGAGCUGCAACACAGGCGAGAGAGCUGGAGCCCCGCGCCGCCAGGGCAGGGCAGGGUUGGCAGGCGGGCAGCAAGGUGACAGCUCUGCCAGGAGGAGCCUGAAGGGCCACCCGCCUCGGACACGCCCGGCCAACAGAGGUCGGGACGGGCCUGCCCAACAAUUUUGCGAAACCUCACUCUUCUAAAUGCCGUUGAAGUCAGCUUUGCUUUAAAGAGGCGCUAAUCAUCAAAGGAUGUGGACGUUAACUUUUCAUUUGGAAAGUGACUUUAAAAUGCUUAAACACGGACCAACUUGCAGAAGCCCCCCAGCACUGCGUCCGGAGCACAGAGAGGUCCCCAAAAGCACCGCCAGAGAGGCCGCGUGAGAUGCGAGAGGAGAGUGCGAGCCAAGCCGCAGGUAGACGCGGCUUCCACCUGGAAAGCGCUACGGUGGAAAAGCAGGACAGAGAAUCGUUUAAAUACCUUGCGAUUCAUGGAUUUGUGACUCACGAGCUUUUGACUCACAACUUUUCAAUUUGGCAUUUUCUGAUUCACAACUGCACUUCGCGAAAGCCCCUUGGAAGAGGUGAACUAAGAACGAAGAAAAGGACGAGGUGCGCUCGGCCAGCCGCCAGAUCCUAUCCGCGAAGCGAGAGGCGCCGCCUGGUGGGAAACCGGCCGUUACUCCCUCCCCAGGGCCGGCGCCCGCGCCCAAGCCGUCGCACCCAAGGCCCAGGUACAGGGGAGACUCCCGCUCAGGACGCGCCACGGUGGCAAGUGGCACAGAGGGACACGCGCGCGUCCUACAGGGGCCAGGCCGACAGCGCCCGGUCUCCCAACGCUGGGGACGCUCACAGCACAACGCUCAGGAACGGCCUGCCGGACCCCGCCACCUGCCACCGGCCCAGCAGGCCGACCCCACAGCAGCCGGGGCAGCCCCGUCGGGAAAGGCAGCGGCCUCCAGGACGCCGGGCCCUCCAGGACGGCUGCCACGGCCCUUGGCCCAGCCCGCUGGGGGCCACUAAGCCGCCUGGCUCCUCCCUCUGGGCCGGGGACAUGAGAGUAGUGUGACCUGUGGUCCCCCAAACUGUGCAGGUGGCAGUCUACAAGCCACGGCGGCUAAAAACGUCUACCUUUGAAGAAGUUUCCUCGUGAGUGACAGCUGAAAAAUAGGCUUAUUUUUACACAGCUGCCUCCAAGAGGCCUGCCCGCCACCCUGGACUGCCCCUGGCAGUGCCAAGUCGCAGCCCGGGGAACUCAGAGCCCAUGGCAUGAGGCCAGCGUGGACUGGAGAAGUCCGAGUUGGAAUGGUUUAAGGAAAAUAAACCAAGAGCGUCCCCCCAGAAGAGCCCAAGUAGCCACAGGCUAUUGGUCCCGAGUGCCAGUCAUGGCUCAGCAGGUUAAGAACCCCACUAGGAUCCAUGAAGGUGUAGGUUAGAUCCCUGGCCUCGUUCAGCGGGUUAAGGAUCCAGCGUGGCUGUGGCUGUGGCGCAGGACGGCAGCUGCAGCUGUGACUCGACCCCUAGCCUGGGGACCUCCAUAUGCUGCAGGGGCGGACCUAAAAGAAAAAAAAAGAUGUAGGCUGUUUGUGAACCGCAGCCUGGUACAAAAACAAACAACAAUGACCAAAAACACCCUCACAAACCUGGGGCUAAAAGCCCCUGAGCGUCAGCGCCAAGUCUGUGUCCAUCGCACUCUUGUUUACGCUGCAGAUGAAACUACACACAGAGGUUGGUAAAAACGGGAAAAAUUCACCAACCAGAUGGAUGGUCUCACGUCACCUCUGGUCACAUGACCCGACAUUCGGAAGCACCAAAAUUCUAUUUUCCUUCAUCUAAGUGGCAACAUUUUAAAAGAACAAAGGCCAAGGAUCAGCAUGCCCACAAGGAGCAGGGACCCUCGUUCUGCCUGCCGUGGCGGGAGGGUGGUGACCCAGGGCAGUCACGGAGGUCGGCUGCAAGGAUCUACUGCAACCGGAGCUGUAGGAGUUCCCUGGUGGCCUAGCCGAUAAGGACUCGGCGUUGUCCCUGCUGUGGCUCAGGGGUUCCAUCCCUGGCCCAGGUGUUUCCAUAUGCUGCGAGCACAGCAAGAAAAAAAAAAAAAAAAAGUCCAUGACAUUUUUUCAGCAGUGACACGGUUUUUUAUUUUUUGUCUUUUUAGGGUCGCACCCACAGCAUAUGGAGGUUCCCAGGCUAGGGGUCCAACCGGAGCUACAGCUACUGGCCUACACCACAGCCACAACAACGCCAGAUCCGAGCAGUGUCUGCGACCUACACCACAGCUCACGGCAACGUCGGAUCCUUAACCUACUGAGCGAGGCCAGUGAUCGAACCCGCAACCUCACGGUUCCUAGUUGGAUUCGUUUCCACUGCACCACAAUGGGAACUCCUGGAACAGUUUUUAAAAUACACUGCAACUGCUCCGCUCAGAGGCCGAGCCACUGCCACAUCUGGCUGUUGACCCCAGCUCCUGCUGCUCCUAUGACCACCUGGCCACGCCGGCCGGCUUGCCACCCCAACCCCGACGUCGGCCUGUCCAUCUCCCAGAAGGCAGCAGACACACGAGUCCUUACUCCUCUGAAGACUGAGGCUGGUUCAGGAAGCAAACUUCCGCCCAAAGCCACCAGGACAACUGACACAUGGUUCAAAGCAAUGGCCUGUCCUUUCUAAGGACGUCCACACCUAUCAGGGACACCGGCACUGCCGCAGGUGACAGAGAGCAAAGAAGGGCGUUGCUCCCUGGGGCCUGCUGCGCGUCAGCACAGGGCUACUCGGCCCCGUCGCCGGGCCCUGGUAGAGCCGUGUCUCCGAGCCCGCAGGCUUCUCCCGGGAGACGCCCACCCUCCCGGGGGAGGGAAGCUACCACCUGCAGGCCGCGCAGCCGCAGCCGCCCUGUGGAGAACGGUGCCUCCCAAGGACAACGUGAGGAAGAGUCACAAAACCCGUUUCUGGUUUUUUGGUUGUUUUGCUUUUCAGAACCGCAUUCUCGGCAUAUGGAGGUUCCCAGGCUGGGGGUCAGACUGGAGUUGCAGCUGCUGGCCUACACCACAGCCACAGCAACGUGGGAUCCCUAACCCACUGAGUGAGGCCCGGGAUCAAUCCCGCACCCUCCUGGACCCUGGUCGUAUUUGUUUCCGCUGUGCCGAGAUGAGACCGCCUUAUGAAGCCUUUCUGAUGGGGCCCAGAAAAUCACAUUUUGUCAAGAAUGCACUCAACCCCAAUCUCAAGAAACCACAGGGCUCAGGCUGCUUCUGGUUGGCCUGCCCAGAGAUCUGUGUACAGACACAAGCACGGACAAAAGAGGAAACACACCCAAAAAAGCACUGAUCCUGGGAGUUCCCGUGAUGGCUCACUGGUUACCGAAUCCGACUGGGAACCAUGAGGUGGCGGGUUCGAUCCCUGGCCUUGCUCAGUGGGUUAAGGAUCCGGCGUUGCCGUGAGCUGUGGUGUAGGUUGCGGACGCGGCUCGGAUCCCGCGUUGCUGUGGCUGUGGUGCAGGCCAGGGGCUACAGCUCCGACUGGACCCCUGGCCUGGGAACCUCCAUAUGUCGUGGGAUCAGCCCUAGAAAAGGCUAAAAAGACAAAAAAUAAAUAAAUAAAAAAAAGGGAAGAGCAGUCGAGACCCUGUUUUGUGUAAAAAGACAAAAAAAAAAAAAAAAAAAAAAAAAA